rnacentral:ncRNA from 1 species
AAAAACUCAUUGAAAAGAAGAGUACACAAGCAGACAUUAGAAUCUAGCUGAUUCAUUUCAUUCAGCUAGAAGUAGAGAGCUUUCGUUUGGUGCAAGAAAGUAAUGAUCCCUUGUCGAAAAUGAUCUUGGAGAGGAAAAAUCAUUUUGAUUUUUACGGCAGCUACCGUUAACCAAGCACCAAAUCAAGAAGAAAUUCGGCGUUUGGAUCGAGAUGGAACUAAAUUCCAAUAAAGGUGGUACCGCGACAGUCGCCCUUUAC